rnacentral:rRNA from 1 species
CAGCCCCUCGAGUGGUGGGGAUGAUUAUUUGGCCUAAAGCGUCCGUAGCCGGCCGAGUAAGUCCCCCGUUAAAUCCAGCGUCUCAAGCGUUGGACUGCGGGAGUUACUACUUGGCUAGAGAGUGGGAGAGGUCAGCGGUAUUCUGGGGGUAGGGGCGAAAUCCUUUGAUCCCCGGAGGACCACCAGUGGCGAAGGCUGCUGACUAGAACACGUCUGACGGUCAGGGACGAAAGCUGGGGUAGCGAACCGGAUUAGAUACCCGAGUAGUCC